rnacentral:rRNA from 1 species
GAUGAACGCUGGCGGCGUGCCUAAUACAUGCAAGUCGAGCGAACGGACGAGAAGCUUGCUUCUCUGAUGUUAGCGGCGGACGGGUGAGUAACACGUGGAUAACCUACCUAUAAGACUGGGAUAACUUCGGGAAACCGUAGCUAAUACCGGAUAAUAUUUUGAGCCGCAUGGUUCAAAAGUGAAAGACGGUCUUGCUGUCUCUUAUAGAUGGAUCCGCGCUGCAUUAGCUAGUUGGUAAGGUAACGGCUUACCAAGGCAACGAUGCAUGGCCGACCUGAGAGGGUGAUCGGCCACACUGGAACUGAGACACGGUCCAGACUCCUACGGGAGGCAGCAGUAGGGAAUCUUCCGCAAUGGGCGAAAGCCUGACGGAGCAACGCCGCGUGAGUGAUGAAGGUCUUCGGAUCGUAAAACUCUGUUAUUAGGGAAGAACAUAUGUGUAAGUAACUGUGCACAUCUUGACGGUACCUAAUCAGAAAGCCACGGCUAACUACGUG